GACGAACGCUGGCGGCGUGCCUAAUACAUGCAAGUCGAACGAAGCGGCGGUUGGGUGAGUAAUGCGUGGGUAACCUGACCUUAAGUCCGGGAUACCAUUUGGAAACAGAUGCAAAUUCCGGAUAUUAAAGGAUGGACCUGCGAUGAAUUAGCUAGUGGGUAAGGGAACGGCUUACCAAGGUGAUGAUGCAUAGCCGAGUGGAGAGUGUAAUGGGCCACAGUGGGACUGAGACACGGCCCAUACUCCUACGGUAGGCAGCAGUAGGGAAUCUUCCACAAUGGACGAAAGUCUGAUGGAGCAACGACGCGUGAGUGAAGAAGGUUUUCGGAUCGUAAAGCUCUGUUGUUGGUGAAGCGGUAAGCAGCCAGAAAGUCACGGCUAACUACGUGCCAGCAGCCGCGGUAAUUC
rnacentral:rRNA from 1 species